GUCCAUGCCGUAAACGAUGUCUACUAGCCGUUGGGGCCUUUGAGGCUUUAGUGGCGCAGCUAACGCGAUAAGUAGACCGCCUGGGGAGUACGGUCGCAAGACUAAAACUCAAAAUGAAUUGACGGGGGCCCGCACAAGCAGUGGAUUAUGUGGUUUAAUUCGACGCAACGCGAAGAACCUUACCAGGAUUUGACAUCCCACUAACGAAGUAGAGAUACAUUAGGUACCCUUCGGGGGAAGUGGAGACAGGUGGUGCAUGGUUGUCGU
rnacentral:rRNA from 1 species